ensembl:lncRNA
GAUACUGAGCCAGACAGCAGGAUACACGUUUGUUGCAGGAGAGGGCGGGGGUCUCCUUAACCCCUGCCCCAGCUUCCUAGGCUUCUAUCAGGCCGCGGGUGGGGUCUAGCUCUUCUUUCUUCUCUUAGAGAGUGUGGGUGCCUAGGCUCCCCAGGCCCACCCCUCACUUCCCCGUUAUUGCCACCACUCUUGAUCCUUGUAGGAAAACUGGGCUGGUGAGAAAGGAUCCCCCUCAGUUUGGCUCCUAGUGAUGGACGGCUGAGAAAGCACCUGGGUUUUGCUGUUUUGGCCUGAGCCCCAGGGCAUCGUCUGCCUCCGAACUCAUGCCCUGCCAAACGUCCCUCACAGUCAGUCCGGCCCGAGGUGGUCCUUUCGUCAAUAGCAGGAGGGUGAGGAAGGGGUGCUGUCUUACAGGGGAUGCUAAAUGAAUUAAACAAGGAGACUGUUAAAUCUUGUUAGAGGAGGCCUUAAUGAAGGGGGUAGCCUACUUAAGCAAACCAAAGUCUAACCUGUAAAUGCCUGAAAGUCAAGACGCUAAGGACCACCAUUCACAAACANNNNNNNNNNNNNNNNNNNNNNNNNNNNNNNNNNNNNNNNNNNNNNNNNNNNNNNNNNNNNNNNNNNNNNNNNNNNNNNNNNNNNNNNNNNNNNNNNNNAAAUGCCUGAAAGUCAAGACGCUAAGGACCACCAUUCACAAACAGCUAACCAGGCUUCACGCUACAGCCAGUCGGCCAACCAGGCUUCACGCUACAGCCAAUCGGCCAACCAGGCUUCACGUUACGGCCAAUCAGCCAAGGCUUCACGCUAUAGCCAAUCACCAACCAGGCUUCAAGUUACAGCCAAUCGCCCAACCAGGCUUCACGUUACAGCCAGUUGACCAACCAUGCUUCACAAUACAGCCAAUCAAAUAGUUUCCUCGCUUUUCUUCCUCACUUUCUCUCUCUGUCUCUCUUCAGCUCCUGCAGGUCAGAGGGCUCCUAACCACUUCCAGUUUGGUGCUGCUUGAUUCCAGUCGAUUUUUAUUCAAAUAAACUCUUAAGAGCCUUAACGUGCCUCAGUUUAUCUUUGAACAUCGGAAACAGAAAUACAGCGUUCAUUUUCCCACAUGGCUUCCCUUCCUCGCUUUCUACCUCCCCCAACUCACCACUUUGCAUCAGUCUUCAGUGAGACAGCACAGGGUUGUACUAAGGAAACAGCCUCGACCCCUCGUCUCGACGAUGAGGCAGGAGUAUGAGUGAGUCAUGGCAUAGCUGCCUAUGUAAUUUUCAGGCCCAGUGUAAAAUGAAAAUGCAGAUCCUCUUUUUCAAAAGUAUUAAGAAUUUCAAGAUGACGCCAGCAGAGUGUUAAACCAAGCUUGAGGUUCCUCUGUGUACCAGACCUGGUCGUGAAUCGUGGGAGCCUCAGUAUGCAGGUAACAAGCUCCAAGCUUUCCCUACUGCCCCCCACUGGGCUGGAAGGAGCCUCUCCUGUGGAAGGAAUGGGAAGGGGAGUGAGUCAGACAAACAGGAAGCACAGUCCCUGUGACCUCUGAGACUUUCCGGGACCCUGGGAAGGCAGACACCAACUGCUAAAGAAUAGACUCCUGGAACAACUUCCCACGGCCAACACAAUGCGGCUGACCAUCUAUAUAUCUGACUCUGCUUGCUGGCAUUUUUCCAGCAAGGUUAUCCAGGAAAGGUAAACACAGGAAAUCCCUCGCUUUCAAGGGCAGGAAAGCAAAACUGAAACUAGGAGGCCCAGGCACUUUCUGUAGGAUCACGGGGCAUUUUUGACAUCAGUUUCUGGACUCCUCUUCCAGUACUCAGAAUGUGCACAUCAGAGAGCUGAAGUACCUGAUCUCCAGUCUCUCCCAGUCCUAUGAAUAUGUGCCCAGCCCUCUUUAUAACAAGGUUCCAAGUAUCUCACAGAGAUAACAAACUACCCUAAACCUUGGUGACUUAAAACAACCACUCUGUUACUAUCUCACAAUUCUAUGGGCUAGAAAUUCAGAGAGGGCUCAACCAUUCAAGUUUUCUGUUCCACAUGGUAUCAAUGAAGGACCCAAGGUGGCUACACUCACAUGUCUUCAUGGGGAUGGCUAGAAAGCCGAGCCCAACUGGGACUGUCCUCUGGAGCACCCAUAUGUGGCCUUUCAAGCCUGGGGAACUCAUGGUAGUGAAUUUUUAGAUGGCAGUUCCCAUGAGCUUCCAGAGCUCAGGGCUCCCAGAAGAGCAUUCCAAGGUGCCCAGA